rnacentral:rRNA from 1 species
AGGACGAACGCUGGCGGCGUGCUUAACACAUGCAAGUCGAACGGAAAGGCCCGCUUGCGGGUACUCGAGUGGCGAACGGGUGAGUAACACGUGGGCAACCUGCCCUCAGCUCUGGGAUAACUCCGGGAAACCGGUGCUAAUACUGGAUAUCGACUUCUGCCUCGCAUGGGGUGUUGUUGAAAGUUUUUCGGCUGGGGAUGGGCCCGCGGCCUAUCAGCUUGUUGGUGGGGUGAUGGCCUACCAAGGCGACGACGGGUAGCCGGCCUGAGAGGGCGACCGGCCACACUGGGACUGAGACACGGCCCAGACUCCUACGGGAGGCAGCAGUGGGGAAUAUUGCGCAAUGGGCGGAAGCCUGACGCAGCGACGCCGCGUGAGGGAUGGACGGCCUUCGGGUUGUAAACCUCUUUCAGCUCUGACGAAGCGAGAGUGACGGUAGGAGCAGAAGAAGCACCGGCCAACUACGUGCCAGCAGCCGC